AUCAACGGCCAAUUAAAACAGGAAUUUAAGCCUGAACAAGAAUGGAUACACGAUACAGCAUAACACCUACACGCAAUUAUCUUCAAUCCCUCCCACUCCCGCCAUGAGCGUCCCAUUCUCUCUCCUCUCUCCUCAACCGCUCCCUUUAUCUCUCGUCUCUCUCCCACUCUCAUCUCUCUACACUCACCGCAUCUACCAAACCCUACCAUUUCGCAAGCUCCGCGCUCAAACGCCUCUCUCAAUUCGAACCUUCUACAAGUUCCCAAAGCCUCUCUUCGCCCUCGACUCUCAGCUCUCCGAUGCCGACGACGACGAUGACGAAGCUGCGGAAGAGUACGACGAUAUCUCCGGAGAAGUCUCCGAAGGCAUUGAAGAAGAAGAUGAUGAUAGUGAGGAUGAAACCGAAGAUUCAGCGGACGGAGAUGGUGACGUCAUUGCGCCGGAGUUGAAGUCGACGUAUGAGGAGUUUAAGUGGCAAAGAGUUGAGAGACUUUGUAAUGAAGUUAAAUUGUUCGGUGAAGAGAUUAUUAAUAUCGAAGAGCUUAAGUCGAUUUACGAUUUUCGUAUCGAUAAGUUUCAGAGAUUGUCGAUUGAAGCAUUUUUAAAAGGUUCGUCGGUUGUGGUUUCAGCACCUACAAGCAGCGGAAAGACCUUGAUUGCAGAAGCUGCAGCAGUUGCUACUGUAGCUAGAGGAAGAAGGUUGUUCUACACCACACCUCUCAAGGCAUUGUCAAAUCAGAAAUUCAGAGAGUUUCGUGAGACAUUUGGCGAUGGUAAUGUCGGUCUUUUGACAGGGGACUCUGCAAUUAAUAAAGAUGCUCGGGUCCUAAUCAUGACUACUGAAAUUCUUCGAAACAUGUUAUAUCAGAGUGUUGGAAUGGUUUCAUCACAAGGUGGUCUUUUUCAAGUUGAUGUUAUUGUUUUGGAUGAAGUGCAUUAUCUAAGUGAUAUAUCUCGUGGUACUGUUUGGGAAGAGAUAGUUAUCUAUUGUCCAAAAGAAGUUCAACUUAUAUGUUUGUCAGCAACCGUGGCAAACCCAGACGAACUAGCUGGCUGGAUAGGUCAGAUUCAUGGUAAAACUGAGUUGGUGAUGUCAUCAAGGCGUCCUGUACCACUAAAUUGGCACUUCUCCACAAAGACAGCUUUGUCACCCCUACUUGAUGAUAAAGGAACGACAAUGAAUAGGAAGCUGUCGGUUAACUAUCUGCAACGAAAUUCUGCGAGAGAGAAAUCAUACGAUGACGAGGGAUCUAGAAGAAGGAAAUCUAGAAAACAGCGUGAGAAUGACAUGUCCCCUCCUUCAAGGAAUGACAUAAACACCUUCCGCCGCUCCCAAGUACCUCAAGUUAUAGAUACAUUGUGGCAACUUGAGACGAGGGAUAUGCUGCCGGCAGUUUGGUUUAUCUUUAGCAGGAAAGGAUGUGACGCAGCUGUUCAGUAUAUUGAAGACUGUCUUCUGGAUGAAUAUGAGAAGGCUGAAGUUGAACUGGCCUUAAAGAGAUUACGUGCAAAAUAUCCCGAUGCUGUGCGGGAGUCUUCUGUUAAGGGUCUUCUCCGAGGAGUUGCUGCUCAUCAUGCUGGUUGUCUACCACUUUGGAAAUCUUUUGUGGAAGAGCUGUUUCAGCGUGGACUUGUUAAGGUUGUUUUUGCUACCGAAACUCUUGCUGCUGGAAUCAAUAUGCCAGCGCGAACAGCAGUUGUUUCAUCUCUUAGCAAGAGAAUUGAAAGUGGAAGAACACAAUUAACUGCAAAUGAACUAUUUCAAAUGGCUGGUCGUGCUGGACGUAGAGGCAUUGACAAAAGGGGUCAUGUUGUUCUUGUUCAGACUGUCUUUGAAGGGGCUGAAGAGUGCUGUGAGGUUCUCUUUUCUGGACUCAAACCUCUCGUGUCACAGUUUAAAGCAUCAUAUGGGAUGGUUCUGAAUCUUCUUGCUGGUGCAAAAAUUACUCGCGGACUAAGUGAAGCAGAUGAAUUAAGCAUUUCCCGAGCCGGACGAACUAUGGAAGAAGCCAGAAAGUUAGUUGAACAGAGUUUUGGAAAUUAUGUAGGAAGCAAUGUUAUGAUUGCUGCAAAGGAGGAGCUCAAAAAUAUUGAAAGUGAGAUUGAAAUGCUUCAUUUAGAAAUUAGUGAUGAAGCUAUUGAUCGCAAGAGCAAAAAGGCAUUAACGACAAUGGCACACAAGGAGAUUACAGAUCUGCAGCAUGAACUAAAGGCAGAAAAAUGUGUACGGACGGAGUUGCGUAGAAAGAUGGAAUUAGAGAGGGUGUCUGCUCUGAGGCCUCUACUAAAGGAGUUGGAAGGUGGAACUUUGCCUUUUAUGUGUUUGCAGUACAGUGAUUCUGGUGGAGUUCAACACCUGGUCGCUGCUGUUCUUUUGGGAAGCACUGAUAUUUUGGAUGGAAUAAAACUGAAAAAGAUGGUCCAUGUACUCGAUCUUGAUGGAGAAAAUAUUCUUAUCAACUCUACUGAAGGGCAAAAUUCUGAACCGUAUUAUUAUGUGGCUCUUGGUUCGGAUAACUCUUGGUAUCUCUUUACAGAGAAGUGGAUUAAGUCGGUCUACAAAACAGGAUUUCCCAAUGUUGCGUUGGCUCAAGGUGAUGCAUUGCCAAGAGAUAUUAUGAUGACCCUACUCGAGAAGGAGGAUACUCAGUGGCAGAAACUAGUAGAAUCUGAUCUUGGGGACCUUUGGUGUGGCGAAGGAUCUUUGGAGACGUGGUCGUGGAGUCUUAAUGUGCCAGUUUUGAGUAGUCUUUCUGAAAAAGACGAGGUUUUACAUUAUUCACAAGCAUACCAUGAUGCAGUUGAAUGUUACAAGGAACAAAGGAAUAAAGUUUCCCGAUUGAAGAAAAAGAUAACACGCACAGAAGGAUUUAGAGAAUAUAAGAAGAUUCUAGACAUGACAAAGUUUACCAUGGAAAAGAUUCGGCGCUUGAAGUCUAGGUCGAAGCGCUUGAUUAAUCGUAUAGAACAGAUCGAACCAUCCGGAUGGAAAGAGUUUCAGCAGGUCAGCAGUGUCAUCCACGAAAUUAGGGCACUGGACAUUAAUACACAUGUGAUAUUUCCGCUUGGUGAAACUGCAGCUGCAAUUCGAGGAGAAAAUGAGCUCUGGCUUGCAGUGGUCUUAAGAAAUAAAAUAAUGUUAAACCUGAAACCUGCGCAGCUAGCUGCUGUUUGUGGAAGCCUAGUUUCUGAAGGGAUUAAAGUUCGACCUUGGAAAAACAACAGCUAUAUCUAUGAACCUUCAACCGCUGUUCUGAAGGUUGUCACUGUUCUGGAAGAGCAAAGAAGUUCUAUUGUACAACUACAAGAAAAGCACGGCGUGAAGAUUCCCUGCUGUUUGGAUAGCCAAUUUACCGGUAUGGUUGAAGCUUGGGCUUCUGGUUUGACUUGGAGAGAGAUAAUGAUGGACUGUGCUAUGGAUGAAGGUGAUUUAGCUCGCCUUUUGCGAAGGACAAUCGACUUACUAGUUCAGAUCCCUAAAUUGCCUGAUGUCGACCCCCUGCUGCAAAGAAAUGCAGUAGCAGCAUCCAGUGUCAUGGACCGCCCGCCAAUGAGUGAAUUGGCGGGAUAAAGCUAUUUUGCUAUAAAGAAGUGUUGCCUUGAUACUUGGAUAGAUACCUUAUAUUACAAUUCAUCUGGUGUACCAUCAAGAAAAUCUUUUUGUUGAUUUUGUUAAGGAAAAUAUUUGGAAUGCUCAAUCAUCAGCGAGACGGUAAACAGUUAUUGCUGCUGCUCGAUCCUACCCGCUAGCAUCUUGCUUGGCGUGAGUGGUGCAACCAAGCUUGUCAAGGAUUUAUUGAAUCAAAGCAAGCAGCGAGGAUUGGAUCCACAUGAAACAAAGUGGGAGCAGCUGGUGACUGGAAAUAGAAUUUUUGAUAUAGGAAAUGUAGUUAGAAAGAGCAUAAAACAAGAAAUGGUAGAGGGUUGCAACUGAAUGCAACACUUAUAUUCAAUUGUUUAUACUUAUGUUAUUUUUUUUGACAAAUGCAAAAAGAUUUCAUUAA